GAUGGACGCUAGCGGCAGGCUUAAUACAUGCAAGUCAAGGGGGUAGCAAUACAACCGGCGCACGGGUGAGUAACGCGUACACAACAUACCAUAUACUGGAGUAUAGCUUUGGGAAACUGAAGGUAAUCCUCCAUAACAUUGCGAGAGGGCAUCUGAUUGCAAUUAAAGUUUCGGCGGUAUAUGAUUGGUGUGCGUUUGAUUAGCUAGUUGGUAGGGUAACGGCCUACCAAGGCGACGAUCGAUAGCUGGCGUGAGAGCGCGACCAGCCACACUGGAACUGAGACACGGUCCAGACUCCUACGGGAGGCAGCAGUAGGGAAUAUUGGACAAUGGAGGAAACUCUGAUCCAGCCAUGCCGCGUGAUAGAUGAAGGCCCUCUGGGUUGUAAAUAUCUUUUAUCUGGGAAGAAACACUCCUAUUCUUAGGAACUUGACGGUACCAGAGGAAUAAGCACCGGCUAACUCCGUGCCAGCAGCCGCGGUAAAGUA
rnacentral:rRNA from 1 species